rnacentral:rRNA from 1 species
GAUGAACGCUGGUGGCGUGCCUAAUACAUGCAAGUCGAGCGAACAGACGAGGAGCUUGCUCCUCUGACGUUAGCGGCGGACGGGUGAGUAACACGUGGAUAACCUACCUAUAAGACUGGGAUAACUUCGGGAAACCGGAGCUAAUACCGGAUAAUAUAUUGAACCGCAUGGUUCAAUAGUGAAAGACGGUUUUGCUGUCACUUAUAGAUGGAUCCGCGCCGCAUUAGCUAGUUGGUAAGGUAACGGCUUACCAAGGCGACGAUGCGUAGCCGACCUGAGAGGGUGAUCGGCCACACUGGAACUGAGACACGGUCCAGACUCCUACGGGAGGCAGCAGUAGGGAAUCUUCCGCAAUGGGCGAAAGCCUGACGGAGCAACGCCGCGUGAGUGAUGAAGGUCUUCGGAUCGUAAAACUCUGCUAUUAGGGAAGAACAAAUGUGUAAGUAACUAUGCACGUCUUGACGGUACCUAAUCAGAAAGCCACGGCUAACUACGUG